rnacentral:rRNA from 1 species
UACAGAGGUCCCGAGCGUUGUUCGGAUUCACUGGGCGUAAAGGGCGCGUAGGCGGUCGUGACAAGUCACUUGUGAAAUCUCCGGGCUUAACUCGGAACGGUCAAGUGAUACUGUCGGACUAGAGUACAGAAGGGGGCAACUGGAAUUCUCGGUGUAGCGGUGAAAUGCGUAGAUAUCAGGAGGAACACCGGUGGCGAAGGCGGGUCUCUGGGCCGAUACUGACGCUGGAGGAGCGAAAGCGUGGGGAGCGAACAGG